AACGACCUGCUCCCCUGCUACUGUACUGCGGAGCAUCCUGUCUUCUCUGCCCCUACACUACAGUGGCAGUCUGGAGGAGCCUCUCACAGCCACAGGCGGUGAUGUGUGGAGCAGUGACUGUGGCUAUGGAGAGGAGCCAGGCCGCCAUUUCUUGGAACAGUCAUCCGGAAAGGAUUGGUCAUCGACUAGGAGACAAAAGACCCACUGCAUGGCAAGCAGGUGUCUCAUUAGUGGUGUUUGUCACCACAUUUAUUUUCUGGCCAAGUAGACAGUUUGUUUUUGUUUUUUCAGCCGAAUUAGGCCGUUCAUUUAUU